GACGAACGCUGGCGGCGUGCCUAAUACAUGCAAGUCGAACGCUUCUUUCCUCCCGAGUGCUUGCACUCAAUUGGAAAGAGGAGUGGCGGACGGGUGAGUAACACGUGGGUAACCUACCCAUCAGAGGGGGAUAACACUUGGAAACAGGUGCUAAUACCGCAUAACAGUUUAUGCCGCAUGGCAUAAGAGUGAAAGGCGCUUUCGGGUGUCGCUGAUGGAUGGACCCGCGGUGCAUUAGCUAGUUGGUGAGGUAACGGCUCACCAAGGCCACGAUGCAUAGCCGACCUGAGAGGGUGAUCGGCCACACUGGGACUGAGACACGGCCCAGACUCCUACGGGAGGCAGCAGUAGGGAAUCUUCGGCAAUGGACGAAAGUCUGACCGAGCAACGCCGCGUGAGUGAAGAAGGUUUUCGGAUCGUAAAACUCUGUUGUUAGAGAAGAACAAGGACGUUAGUAACUGAACGUCCCCUGGCGGUAGCUAACCAGAAAGCCACGGCUAACUACGUG
rnacentral:rRNA from 1 species